rnacentral:rRNA from 1 species
AGCAGUCGCCACGGUAAUACGUAGGUGGCAAGCGUUGUCCGGAAUUAUUGGGCGUAAAUGGCUCGCAGGCGGUUUCUUAAGUCUGAUGUGAAAGCCCCCGGCUCAACCGGGGAGGGUCAUUGGAAACUGGGAAACUUGAGUGCAGAAGAGGAGAGUGGAAUUCCACGUGUAGCGGUGAAAUGCGUAGAGAUGUGGAGGAACACCAGUGGCGAAGGCGACUCUCUGGUCUGUAACUGACGCUGAGGAGCGAAAGCGUGGGGAGCGAACAGGAUUAGAUACCCGCGUAGUCCCUGUCUCUUAUAC